CCCACCUGUGGACAAAUACACCUGGUACAAGAAGACUGUAACCUCACCAAAAGCUUCAGGACAGAAUUAUAGCAUUGCUAACAUCAGCUCCGAGGACAUUGGAGAAUAUUACUGUGAAGCUGUGAAUACAUAUGGACGUCUCAAUUCUACUGCUCUGAUGGUCAUUGCAACAGGAAAACAAACAUCAGUUAGGACCUCAGCUGCAGGAAUCACGGUGGUUGUUCUGUUUCUGGUUCUUCUACUCCUUCUCUUUGGGCUCAUGUGGUUUAGAAAGAAGCCCUCCAAAUUCACAGCAGACAAUGGACACGGAGAUUCUGUGUAUACAAACAUCUUAAUCAAGGACAUGGCUCCUAUAGCACAACAGACAGCAGAGACAACAGACCACGGAGAGAUUGACUGCGGCUCAAGUAGCUGAAGAGGAACUCUCUAUUAUCUACAUCACAGGCCACAACACAGAACCAAGAGGACCGGACCACAACAAGACAUGAAUGUAGGACAAUCUGAAAAAAAAAGGAAAACCUAGAAACAAACGGAACAUCACAAAACAAGUCAGAAAGGCCAACAGUCGGAUGCAAGACGACACUAUUUUCUACAACAACAAAAAAAAUAAAUUAAGACAGCACAUGUGGUGACGACUGUACAUAUUAGUUGUUGAAAGCCUGGUCAUAUCCACAGUAACAGUGUCACUAGCAGAACAGGCACUUCACAUGUUCCCCAGAUAAUGGUGAAAAGACACAGAUAUUGCAGCUGCCUUCCGGGCCAAUUUCCCACGACCGACCUCCCCUCGCCCCGCCUCGGUCCGUGACACGUGACACGGUUGGUGAGCUGGUAUUGUCAUGGUGGGGUGAGGCAGGACACAGAGUGCAGAGCUGUAGGAAUUCAUCCUUUUCAUUGUAAACGCACGAAACAAGACAACGACCUUAAACUGAAGAAUGGCCAACAUGAAGCAAAACAUCCAGGAAUGACCAAUGAACUGAAAGCCACACAGAACCACUUAAAUAGUCGUCUCUAAUUGGGGAGAACAGAACACGGUACCGCAGAAAUGCCUAGAGGGCCCCAGCCAGAACCUGAGAGGAAUACAUGGUUGCAGUAGUUCUUGUUAUAUUGGCACUAAAUUGAGGAUUACAAUUACUUCCACAAUGCAUUAUUUUAGUGUGCAACUACGCAACAUGUAAUUAUAACAGCUCUUGGUACAUGUCUGACCAUCACGUUAAAUGUUUCAAUUUGUCUAUUCAGGGGUAUGAUGUCACGUGUUUUUUGAACAAGAUAUAUGUUUUAACUUUGCCAUUGAAUGCUAUUCCACAUUUAUUACAUCUUUGUUUGUUCCAUUAAGUAACAGACCAACAUGCAUAGAUUUAAUUUAGUUCCUGAAACCAAUUCAGGCCUGUCUGCAGACAUGAUUAAUCAUAUGCCUAACUUCAAUAUCCUGCUUGUUUAAUCAUUUAACAUUACAAAGCCAUGUAUUGUGCCGAUUCAUUAAUGAAGUGUUACUCUUACUACUAGUAAACAAAUGCCAGGCUCCUACCUGCUCUUCUCUGUGGGCUGUGUAUUCCUAAUAUACAUUGUUCUAAUCCACAGCUGGACUGGAUGAGGAUUACAAAGAUCAAUAAAUCAUAUGAUACGAUUUGCUGA